rnacentral:misc_RNA from 1 species
GAUGAAGAACGUAGCGAAAUGCGAUACUUGGUGUGAAUUGCAGAAUCCCGUGAACCAUCGAGUCUUUGAACGCAAGUUGCGCCCGAAGCCAUUAGGCCGAGGGCACGCCUGCCUGGGCGUCACACGUCGUUGCCCCCCCCAUCUACUCCUUCGGGAUUGCGGGGGGCGGAUGAUGGCCUCCCGUGCGCCUCGCCGCGCGGUUGGCAUAAAUGCCAAGUCCUCGGCGACGCACGCCACGACAAUCGGUGGUUGCGAAACCUCGGUUGCCCGUCGUGUACGGUCGUCGCGCAUCGAGGGCUCGAAAAAAUUGCCGAGUUCCGGCUCGGCUUUCAACGCGACCCCAGGUCAGGCGGGGUUACCCGCUGAAUUUAAGCAUAUCAAUAAGCGGAGGA